rnacentral:rRNA from 1 species
GUUUGAUCCUGGCUCAGAUUGAACGCUGGCGGCAGGCUUAACACAUGCAAGUCGAGCGGGGGAAGGUAGCUUGCUACUGGACCUAGCGGCGGACGGGUGAGUAAUGCUUAGGAAUCUGCCUAUUAGUGGGGGACAACAUCUCGAAAGGGAUGCUAAUACCGCAUACGUCCUACGGGAGAAAGCAGGGGACCUUCGGGCCUUGCGCUAAUAGAUGAGCCUAAGUCGGAUUAGCUAGUUGGUGGGGUAAAGGCCUACCAAGGCGACGAUCUGUAGCGGGUCUGAGAGGAUGAUCCGCCACACUGGGACUGAGACACGGCCCAGACUCCUACGGGAGGCAGCAGUGGGGAAUAUUGGACAAUGGGCGGAAGCCUGAUCCAGCCAUGCCGCGUGUGUGAAGAAGGCCUUUUGGUUGUAAAGCACUUUAAGCGAGGAGGAGGCUACUAAGAUUAAUACUCUUGGAUAGUGGACGUUACUCGCAGAAUAAGCACCGGCUAACUACUUGAAU